rnacentral:rRNA from 1 species
GAUGAACGCUGGCGGCGUGCCUAAUACAUGCAAGUCGAGCGAACAGACGAGGAGCUUGCUCCUCUGCCGUUAUCGGCGGACGGGUGAGUAACUCGUGGAUAACCUACCUAUAAGACUGGGAUAACUUCGGGAAACCGGAGCUAAUACCGGAUAAUAUAUUGAACCGCAUGGUUCAAUAGUGAAAUACGGUUUUGCUGUCACUUAUAGAUGGAUCCGCGCCGCAUUAGCUAGUUGGUAAGGUAACGGCUUACCAAGGCAACGAUGCGUAGCCGACCUGAGAGGGUGAUCGGCCACACUGGAACGGAGACACGGUCCAGACUCCAACGGGAGGCAGCAGUAGGGAGUCUUCCGCAAUGGGCGAAAGCCUGACGUAGCAACGCCGCGUGAGUGAUGAAGUUCUUCGGAUCGUAAAACUCUGUUAUUAGGGAAGAACAAAUGUGUAAGUAACUAUGCACGUCUUGACGGUACCUAAUCAGAAAGCCACGGCUAACUACGUG